CUGAAAGCCAGGCGAUGAGGAUGAAGAUGAGCUCUUUUGAAUGAACAGAAGCAGCAGCUUCUCAUUUCCGCUUUAUAACAUCAAGGUGAGGAUUCGGCCUAGAGUGGAUCUCCCUAGCUCUAGACCAUGAAAUUGCUGAGCCAGUUAAGCUUCUCUUAAGCAAACUUCUCAAGUUGACCCAAUCAACAAUCACACUUGGGAUUACAGGUAGAUAAGAACCUAAAGAUUAAAAUCAGAGAGAACUGCAAAGAAGAUCAGAAAUUUAAUAUAUCGGGAAGAUCAAGGCCCUCAAUUGUUUAUGGAGCCUGAUAGAAGUUUCAUCAGGUGCUACUGACUCUUAGGACUCAGAAGGUUCCCCUCUCUCCUGUGUUUGAGCUGUUCCAGUUCUCAGCCUGAACUUCGCACCCCUCAUACAGUGGCCUGGGGAUUUCUGAAUCUGUCACACCAUGAGCAAGCAGAAGAGGAAGAGCAAUAUUUCUGGACUAUUCAUCAAGACAUCUCAUUCCACAAGCAGCAUCUGACUUUGUUAAGAAACAAAAAGGCAUUCAACCAGAAGCCAGAGGCAACAUGAUUUAUGGGGUUGGAAGAAUCAUUGUUUUAACCAUCUCAAAAUAGAAUCUUCUCUAUAAGAGCAAGGAUCAUGUUUCAUUUCUGAAUGCUACUGCCUAGCUCAGCAUCUGCUACACAGCAGGCACUCAAUAAAUGUAUCUUGGAUGAAAGGAG
rnacentral:lncRNA from 1 species